rnacentral:lncRNA from 1 species
UACCAACUCAUUCUUCGAGGCGCAGCUCCUAUCGUUGCCAUGGACAGAAAACUACCCAACACUCAUUUAUCAUUUCCGAAACAUUCAUCACCUCCUUGUGUCUUUUCGUAGUGGAAAUUGGAUCAUGUGGGUGAAGGAAGGACUGAGGUGGCUCAACUCAUCGCUACUAGUGUUACUAAGGAACAUCGAUUCCUAUCGUACGUAGCAACAUGAGGUCCAAGAUGGCUACAAUAGAUUAUCCUCAAGAAUUGAUCUCGAUCGAUCUUGUGACUUGAUUCGGCCACGAAGAUUUUUCAGGGACUUGUUGUACAUCAUCUCAGACCCGUAUAUCAUCUCUUACUAUCGUCUCUACUUACAGAGAGCUUUUAAAAAAUUGGAAAGUUUUCUAAAAGAAUUUUUACAUAUUUCCUUAAAAGGAUUUAUAAAAAAGACAAAAUGUAUGCAAAUCUAUGAAGAUCAAUCACAAUCAAUGGAAAUCUAUGUAAACUAUUUGUUAAGUUUACUUAACUUUUAAAAGUCCAUCAACUUUUAAAAUCACUAAAUUCCAUACAAAUUCUUGUUUGAAUAAGCCUCCCUAAGGCAUCACUGAUUUCUAGAUGCAUACCCUUAGGCAAUAAUAUAUUAGCCAUAGUGAUUCUCACGGCCAAAUGUGUUAUAGUGGCCAUGGCCACGUACUUUCCACCCUCCACGGCCAUGAUCGUGUGGUCUAUCAUUCUGGACGUGG